CUGAACCAGCCAAGUAGCGUGAAGGAUGACUGCCCUAUGGGUUGUAAACUUCUUUUAUAAAGGAAUAAAGUCGGGUAUGUAUACCCGUUUGCAUGUACUUUAUGAAUAAGGAUCGGCUAACUCCGUGCCAGCAGCCGCGGUAAUACGGAGGAUCCGAGCGUUAUCCGGAUUUAUUGGGUUUAAAGGGAGCGUAGGUGGACAGUUAAGUCAGUUGUGAAAGUUUGCGG
rnacentral:rRNA from 1 species